GCUUGAAGUCCAAUGAACUUUUGCAUGAUAUUCUAAUUUUUUGAGUAUCACCUGUAGAACAUUUGCCCGCGGACAGCUCUGAUCUAGAAGAUCUCUUGUGUUUUUGCCUCUGUUUGGCUGUAGCUUUAACGGGUGCUGUUACCAGGGCCGCCAUCAGGGGGUGACAACCAUAACGGUUGUCACUGCCCGGCCCCCACGUGUAGCAGAGCCACCCGAUGGCCC